UACGUGGGGUGCAAGCGUUGUUCGGAAUUACUGGGCGUAAAGCGCGUGUAGGCGGUAAAACGGGUCGGAUGUGAAAGCCCUUGGCUUAACCAAGGAAGUGCGUCCGAAACUAUUUUGCUUGAGUGCGGGAGAGGAGGGUGGAAUUCCCAGUGUAGAGGUGAAAUUCGUAGAUAUUGGGAGGAACAUCGGUGGCGAAAGCGACUCUCUAGACCGCAACUGACGCUAAGACGCGAAAGCGUGGGGAUCAAACAGG
rnacentral:misc_RNA from 1 species